UGCCAGCAGCCGCGGUAAUACAGAGGGGGCAAGCGUUGUUCGGAAUUACUGGGCGUAAAGGGCGCGUAGGCGGCCUUCUAAGUCGAACGUGAAAUCCCCGGGCUCAACCCGGGAACUGCGUCCGAUACUGGAAGGCUUGAAUCCGGGAGAGGGAUGCGGAAUUCCAGGUGUAGCGGUGAAAUGCGUAGAUAUCUGGAGGAACACCGGUGGCGAAGGCGGCAUCCUGGACCGGUAUUGACGCUGAGGCGCGAAAGCCAGGGGAGCAAACGGGAUUAGAUA
rnacentral:rRNA from 1 species